rnacentral:rRNA from 1 species
UUAAGCAAGAAAGGGCGCAGGGUGGAUGCCUUGGCACUGAGAGCCGAAGAAAGACGUGAUAAGCUGCGAUAAGCAGCGGUGAGGAGCAAAUAUCCGAUGACCCGCUGAUUUCUGAAUGGGGAAACCCGGCUGAGCAACCCUCAGUCACCAUAUGCUGAAUACAUAGGUAUAUGGAGGGAACCCGCUGAACUGAAACAUCUAAGUAGGCGGAGGAAGAGAAAGAAACAUCGAUUCUGUGAGUAGCGGCGAGCGAAAACGGAAGAGCCUAAACCGGAGCGCGUGCGUUCCGGGGUUCGGACUGCGACAUGUGAGCAAUAGGAUAACAGAACAGUCUGGGAAGUCAGACCAGAGAGGGUGAAAGUCCCGUAUGUGAAAUCCGAGUUGCAGCUAGCAGGAUCCAGAGUACCACGAGACACGAGAAACCUUGUGGGAAGGCAGGGAGACCACUCCCUAAGGCUAAAUACUACUCAGUGACCGAUAGCGCAUAGUACUGUGAAGGAAAGGUGAAAAGGACCCCGGGAGGGGAGUGAAAGAGAACCUGAAACCCUGUGUCUACAAGCUGUGGAAGAUCUUUACAUGAUCAACCGCGUACUUUUUGUAGAACGGUCCGGCGAGUUGCCAUGUCUGGCAAGGUUAAGUACUUAAGGUACGGAGCCGAAGUGAAAGCAAGUGUUAACAGCACGUAAAGUCAGACCGGGCAGACCCGAAACCGGGUGAUCUACCCAUGUCCAGGUUGAAGUUGCCGUAAAAGGCAAUGGAGGACCGAACGCACAUCCGUUGAAAAGGGUGGCGAUGAGGUGUGGGUAGGGGAGAAAUUCCAAUCGAACCCGGAGAUAGCUGGUUCUCCUCGAAAUAGCUUUAGGGCUAGCCUCAUAUUAGUCUUGCGGAGGUAGAGCACUGAAUAUCCUAGGGGGCGUCAAAGCUUACCGAAGAUUAUCAAACUCCGAAUGCCGUAAAGAUGAUGUAUGGGAGUCAGACUGCACGAGAUAAGUUGGGUAGUCAAAAGGGAAAGAGCCCAGACCUACAGCUAAGGUCCCAAAGUACGUGUUAAGUGGAAAAGGAUGUGGGAUUUCGAAGACAACUAGGAUGUUGGCUCAGAAGCAGCCAUACAUUCAAAGAGUGCGUAAUAGCUCACUAGUCGAGAGGUCCUGCGCCGAAAAUGUCCGGGGCUGAAACACGACACCGAAGCUUAGGAAUCGAAAGAUUGGUAGAGGAGCAUUGAAUACGGAACGAAGCAGUACCGGAAGGAGCUGUGGACUGUAUUGAAGAGAGAAUGCCGGAAUGAGUAGCGAGAUUUAAGUGAGAAUCUUAAAGGCCGAAUAUCUAAGGUUUCCAGGGUAAAGCUGAUCUUCCCUGGGUAAGUCGGGGCCUAAGGCGAGGACGAAAGUCGUAGUCGAUGGAUAACAGGUUGAAAUUCCUGUACCGCAUAUAUUCAGAAAUGUGGGGACACAGAUGGAGAGUACAACCCGGGAAUGGAUAGACCGGGGCAAGCGAGGUAGGAGAAUGGCAGGCAAAUCCACCAUUCAAUCUGAAGACGUGACGCGUACCGAACAAGAGUAGGGAAGUGUAUGAGCCAGCUGUCGAGAAAAGCCGCUAUUGUGAUAUAUGUGCCCGUACCGUAAACCGACACAGGUGGAUGAGGAGAGAAUCCUAAGGCCGGCGGGAGAAGUGUUGUUAAGGAACUCGGCAAAAUGACCCCGUAACUUCGGGAGAAGGGGUGCCUCGGAAGAGGCCGCAGAGAAAUGGCCCAAGCAACUGUUUAGCAAAAACAUAGGUCUAUGCAAAACCGAAAGGUGAGGUAUAUGGGCUGACGCCUGCCCGGUGCUGGAAGGUUAAGAGGAGAGCUUAGCGCAAGCGAAGGUUUGAAUUUAAGCCCCAGUAAACGGCGGCCGUAACUAUAACGGUCCUAAGGUAGCGAAAUUCCUUGUCGGGUAAGUU